rnacentral:lncRNA from 1 species
AGCACUUGCAACAGAGAAACCAACCGAGGAACUCAUGAAGAAGCUACCAGUCGGUAGGACUGAGCCACUUAUCACCAACAUUAUGUGGAGAAAUCUAAUGGCUCAGGCCUUGUAUCAGAUUUUUGUUCUAUUGACCUUCCAAUUUAAAGGAGAAUCAAUCUUUGGCGUCAACACGAGGGUAAAUGUUUGUUCUAUUGACCUUCCAAUUCAAAGGAGAAUCAAUCUUUGGCGUCAACACGAGGGUAAAUGUUUGAUUUUCAACACAUUUGUUCUUUGCCAAGUGUUCAACGAAUGUAAUGUAAUCUGGAGAAGAAGAAUGUUUUCGAGGGAAUACACAAGAACAAGUUGUUUGUGGCAAUCAUUGGAAUCACUUUGGCUCUUCAAGUGGUGAUGGUAGAGUUUCUGAAGAAGUUUGCAGAUACAGAGAGGUUGAAUUGGGGGCAAUGGGGCAUCUGCAUUGGUUUGGCAGCGGCAUCUUGGCCAAUUGGUUGGCUAGUCAAGUGCGUACCUGUCCCAGAGAAACCAGUUUUCAGUUAUGUCAGGUUGAAUUACUUGAAAUCCAUGUUUAAGUGAGUAGAUUUUGUUGUUUUCUUUUUCAUAAUUUGCAGUAGUCUUAGUUUGUUAGUAUGAGUAUAGUUGAUUAAAUGAUUGAUUGAUAUUGCAUUCCUAACUUACCAACAACUUGUAUUUUCAUGUGUUAAUUUUUAAAUAAGGAGUUGUACAGAAUUCUUCUACUACAUUUACAAGACGACUUAAAAAAUUUAUAUAUGCAUACACCUUUCAUUACAUUCUGGUAGUACAAAUAUAGUUUAAGAUAGAAUUCAGUUUGUAAAUAUGUCUAUAGUUCAGUACUUUGUUUACGAGCAGCAACUAAUACUUGCAUUAUGAUAGGCUGUCAAUAUGUCUAAGGUUCAGUACUUUGUUUACGAGCACCAACUAAUACUUGCAUUAGGAUAGGCUGUCUACAUCAAUACCCUUUUGGGUGUGGCCAUUCCCCGACCCUGCAUGAACGCAAGAUGACUUGUGCAACGGGCUGCUCUUUUUUCUCCAGUACUUUGUUCAUGAUUGUAGACACAACAUUCCUUUUGAAAAUGAUAACAAGCUAAAAGUUGUGAAGCUUUCGACUGGGAUUUGUAAUUUGUAUGAACCACAUCAAACUAAUAUGGGGAUCUCCAGAAUACACAAUCCGAUAUAGAAGUUUCAACUCCCUCCAACAUGGAGCUUAAAGAUACGAUUAAUGGCAAGAUACUGAAUAUUAAGAAUAGGUUCUUUUUGAAUUUGAAAGAAUAACAGACCAGUAAGUUUCAUUUCCCAGGAUGAACUAGACAUUUUUCAUCACCGCAAGAAAGAUAUCACAUUCCUUUUGCCGGCCUUUAUAGGACUUUUCAUUAUAUUUUUUUUCCAAUACCAUCCUUCUGAAAAAAAUUUAGCUCAGCUUGACUCAGAGAGAGAUGCACUCAUGCAACAUACAUUUCACACGUAGCACAGAUUUACAUGUAAUAUUACAAUAAUGUCAACACAUAUUAAAUUCUCAAAACCAUAAUUUUAGAAGUGCUACGGGGGUUCAGUAAUAUUAAAAGUUGAUUCUAUCAAGUUUAAAUGUUGGAUCCCCUCUGGCUAAACUUGUGUGUCUAGCCUAGUGUUUCUCCCUUGCCUAUCCACAUUGUCGUGAAGAUAUUCUACAAAUAGUUUUCAGCUCGAUCGCAAGGUUCAAUGGAGAAGAGAUUUUACCUGUUGCAUUUUAGCAAUAUAUUUUCAGCCAGAAGCGGUUUCUACCGCCAGCGAUUUUCUGUCGCUCCUCCUAUAUGACCUAUCAAUGAGGCUUCGAAAUCAUGUUAUUUGCGAGAAGAAUUGGAAUUAAAGCCUUCGUUCCCAAUUUCUUUGCCUUUCUCUUCCUUCUUGGUUCUACAAUUGGGGGCUCCCAUGACAGGGUUACAAGCACGCAGAUCAACUUGAGACUUGAGAGAGCAGAAUUUGGAUUGAACAUGUCAUUUUGGUAUAUAAAUGAAAAUAAAUCACUGAUUCAAAUAAACCUGAAAAUUUGUGAAAAAUAAAAGUUUAAAAGGGGUAACUAAUUAAAAGUAAAGAUCUUGCCCUACUUUGGGGCAGAGAAG